rnacentral:rRNA from 1 species
GAUGAACGCUGGCGGCGUGCCUAAUACAUGCAAGUCGAGCGAACAGACGAGGAGCUUGCUCCUCUGACGUUAGCGGCGGACGGGUGAGUAACACGUGGAUAACCUACCUAUAAGACUGGGAUAACUUCGGGAAACCGGAGCUAAUACCGGAUAAUAUAUUGAACCGCAUGGUUCAAUAGUGAAAGACGGUUUUGCUGUCACUUAUAGAUGGAUCCGCGCCGCAUUAGCUAGUUGGUAAGGUAACGGCUUACCAAGGCGACGAUGCGUAGCCGACCUGAGAGGGUGAUCAGCCACACUGGAACUGAGACACGGUCCAGACUCCUACGGGAGGCAGCAGUAGGGAAUCUUCCGCAAUGGGCGAAAGCCUGACGGAGCAACGCCGCGUGAGUGAUGAAGGUCUUCGGAUCGUAAAACUCUGUUAUUAGGGAAGAACAAAUGUGUAAGUAACUGUGCACGUCUUGACGGUACCUAAUCAGAAAGCCACGGCUAACUACGUG